UGAUUGUGGUUAUUCUUCAGCCAGCCAGU
rnacentral:piRNA from 1 species